AGCAGUCGCCGCGGUAAUACGUAGGGUGCGAGCGUUAAUCGGAAUUACUGGGCGUAAAGCGUGCGCAGGCGGUUGUGUAAGACAGGUGUGAGAUCCCCGAGCUUAACCUGGGAACUGCGCUUGUGACUGCACAGCUAGAGUAUGGCAGAGGGGGGUGGAAUUCCACGUGUAGCAGUGAAGUGCGUAGAGAUGUGGAGGAACACCGAUGGCGAAGGCAGCCCCCUGGGCCAAUACUGACGCUCAUGCACGAAAGCGUGGGGAGCAAACAGGAUUAGAUACCCCUGUAGUCCCUGUCUCUUAUAC
rnacentral:rRNA from 1 species